rnacentral:rRNA from 1 species
GACGAACGCUGGCGGCGUGCUUAACACAUGCAAGUCGAACGGUAAGGCCCUUCGGGGUACACGUGUGGCGAACGGGUGAGUAACACGUGGGUGAUCUGCCCUGCACUUCGGGAUAAGCCUGGGAAACUGGGUCUGAUACCGGAUAGGACCCUGGGAUGCAUGUCCUGGGGUGGAAAGCUUUUGCGGUGUGGGAUGGGCCCGCGGCCGAUCAGCUUGUUGGUGGGGUGAUGGCCUACCAAGGCGACGACGGGUAGCCGGCCUGAGAGGGUGACCGGCCACACUGGGACUGAGAGACGGCCCAGACUCCUACGGGAGGCAGCAGUGGGGAAUAUUGCACAAUGGGCGCAAGCCUGAUGCAGCGACGCCGCGUGAGGGAUGACGGCCUUCGGGUUGUAAACCUCUUUCAGCACCGACGAAGCGCAAGUGACGGUAGGUGCAGAAGAAGGACCGGCCAACUACGUGCCAGCCGCCGCCGUAA